AGCUCAAAUAGAGUGACAUCCACUAGUCACCCUACACCCUGGAUAGAUUUUUCUCCUGUAAUUAGCUGGUGGCUUGCAGCCAGUGUGAGGUAUGUUGGAUUGCCACUACACUAUGCAGCAUCAGUGGAAACCACCACACCUCAGGACACAGUUCUACUGCACUGCAGAAUUAGGUGCUUUGAAAUCAAGAAACCAAACCGACAGUUGUACACAGUGACACUUUGUCAUUAGUAGGGAGUAGUACCAAGUAAUCAGCUUGUUUCUAGAAUUUAUAUCCUGCAAAUAAGAGUAGCUCCAGCAUUUUUCCACAAUGGCGCUUUCCAUCAGCUGAAAAUCCAGCCUGGCCAUAGUCCUACCACACUUCCUUGUUCAGAACAUGACCAGUUCGCUCACUGCAGUGAAGACAGACUCUUCCCUACUCAAUUACCUCAUGGCAUUUCUGUUGACCUUAGUUCAACAAUCCUGCUGUCAGGCUUUACAUAUUUGUUCAAUACACUCCCUAGUUUGGUCACACAUUCCUAAAAUUAAACAAAACCACAACCAGCUCAAGUAAUUCCAUUAGUUCUUCAGCACAACAGUAAAAAUCAUAUCAGAUACCUUAAGUAAGCAAUAGAAGCUGCUAUGAUGUGCUUUCUUUAGCUCAAAAAUGCCCACAUUGUUCAAGAAGCUGUUGCACUUUAAAUUUGUCAAGUGAGAAAUAUGUAUUAAUGCAUCCACUUUACCAGAGUCAGCUUCUGCUACUUCAAUACAGUUACUGUAAGUAAAAGAUGAGUUUUCCCACCUUUUGAGUUCAAGAGCCAAGAGCUACUUUUGCUAUAUCUUUGCACAGGUGUAAUUUUGGCUCUCAGCUUCUAUGUUACUUCCUGUUAUAAAUAUAUUCAGUUUUAAAAGAAAAUAGCUAUUUUAAAUUGAUAUUUAAGAAAAUAGCAGUUUUGAGACGUACCAGCCCAAGGCUUCCCCCCUGAAAACUAUACCAGGUAGGAUAGCAAAACCUUUCGCUUACAAAUUUGCUUUGGUUACAAUCUUAACGCUAAUUUAGUGCUGUUCUUCUACGGUGAGGCUCAGCAUUUUCUUAGAAGCCCACCAACCCAUGUCAUGGCAUGGUUCACUUCCAGCCUCAUGCAUCCUCUGUAGCCCCUCAAGGACAAAGGGACAACCCAGCACAGAGUUUUCUGCAGCUGAGCAAAAAGACAGAGUUCCAGGUUUGCAACCUGUCAUACGGUUCCCCAUUCCCUCCCUCCUGGUGGAAACCAAGACAGGAAGAGCCAACGAGGCAGUACAUUAAAGCCCAAUUUAAAAUGAGCAGAAACAGCAGCACGGCAUAUUGGCUCUAUCCCCAGUGCUACUUCCAAGGAUGCCUGGGGGAGGUAGGGGAGGUCUUCAUCCAAUCCACGCGAGAUUUGCUCAGUGCUUUGCUUUUUUUCCCUUUUAUUUUGGACAUGGCACUAGUGAUGAAACAGUUUUUGUAGGAAAAACAUCUAGGGGGACUCCUGUUGCUCAACGAUGCCAGUGCCUAUGAAGGAUAAUGUCUUAUUGUACAGUGCAUCAGAUGUUUAUUUUUAUAUACACAUAAGAUUUUUUCUAUGUUUACAGAUUAAGUUAUUUAUAUAUGCUUGUUUUGAAGCAGUUUUAUAUGCUAUCAAAGCUAAGUUUUAUUUUUAUCGUUAUUGAAUUAAAGUAACUUUUUUUUUUUAAUACAAUCUUCAAUUGAUACUAAAAAGCCUAUUUAUAUAAAUGUUUUCUUUUGCAAAUAUAACAUUUUAUGGUACUUGUUAAUGUACGGCAUUGGUUUGUUUGGAAGGAAAAAAUAAAAACCCAGCAGAUACCGAAUUUGUUAAUCUACAACGGGCAAAAACCAACUUCCUGUAAGUUACUGCUGAGCAGUAGAUGAUCAAACCAAUUGUAUUGUACCACCUACUGUUGCAUCUCUGCUCUUAAUCAAGAUUGCUAUUUUCAUACCCACAAUAAAUGGUAUUUUCUACACAA
ensembl:lncRNA